GUUCCGCUACGCGCACGAGCGAGCGAGCGAGCGAGCAGCGAGGCGCCCAGAGAGCCCUCGAGUGAGAACCCCGCUGUCGUCUCCCUCAGAAGCAGCCGCCCGCCGAAUCAAAUCGCGCUGCCAGCCUCGUCCGCCUCGCCGUGCCUGCGUCCCUCCCCGGACGGCGGCGACGAUGGAGGGAUCCACUGGCGCUGGCCAGCCCCCCGGCCGAUGGACGCGCCGGAUCGUCGCUCCUCUGGGCCAGCCCCUCCCGCCGCGCUGGAUCACGUGGCAGCCUAGCUUGUCAGAGAUGGCAAAGCUGUUAUAUACAGGGUACGGCUCCGAGCUAGCCGAUGCCUACUGUAUCCAGUGUUCUGUUGCAUCCGGUGCGACCUCAAAGAAUACCUUCUUCUAGCUGGGCGUUGAGCGCCUCAGGGACGACGAGGUGCAGCGCCUGGGGUGGAAGCAGUUCAACUACAUGAUGAAGAAGUGAGUGAAGGGGUUAAGACGGUUGCGUUGUGCGUGCGCUGCUUGCUUGCUGCUGUUGCAUAUAGCUUGUGGCUGUGGUUGUCCAGCCGGGUUAUCUCUGGCUGCAGAAUCAUCAAAGAAAGGAUCCACUGCUGGUCUCAUUGGCCUUGAUCUUCCAUUCACAAGCAAUUAAUGUUUAUGGGAGCACGAAUUCAAAGUAGCACAUUUUCGCGGCUGUGAAAUGCAGCAACAUGUUUGGAUAGCUGACCAAAAAGGAUCUCACUGAAAAACUGAAAUAUUUAAGUAACACGUCAACGACGGCUGCGUCCUGCGUGUUGGCAAGGCGGCGGCGACGGAUGGUGUGCAGGAUGCGGCCUUUUUUGUGUAUAGCUCUCUAAACUUGACAGUUGAGUUUCUUUUUGGUCAUGUUAAAACUGAGUUUCUGUUAGUUCAGUUUGCACAAGCGGCCAUAGUGCGGACCAUCAGGAGACAGGGGCACACAAGCACCAGCACGGCAGCACCACCAUCAGAACACACCAGACGGCUCGCAUAGGGAAUACUUCAAGAUGGACACUGGUGGUACAACAUGGCUUACUAUCAUCUGUUUACACAUGGCUAAUUUGACGGAAUAGCUUUGGCCAUCUUUGAUAUAUGUUACUCCUACUACAGAUUUCGCUCCCUCGUCUCCAAGAAAUUCCCUACUAGCUACACUUGACAUGAGAGUCCAAUUUGAAUUCCCAUAAAUGAGAGGAAAGCUAUGAUUCGUUUGCUCCACUUUUAGCUUUGUAUCUCCUCCUGAAGACAUCCUCCCUGAACUACUUGAUUUCAGCCAUCAGGUCCAGGCUUCUACUGAAUGGUGUCCUCUGUCUCCAGCGCCCAUUUCCGCUUAGCGAGUUGUUGGAUUGCAUCCUACUUCUUAUUUUCCUCCUGCACACCGUCUCCCUUUGUGUCGUCAAUCACGUACUAUAACAUUUGACAAAUAGUAUGUGUUGUGUUGGUGUCAGCAUGCCAGCACUACAUGAAUGAUCCCACUGCUGCAGACUUCAGCCAAUACUGGCCGGCUAUGUUUACAAACAGAAAUGAAUUAUUCAGAGAAGAGGAGCAGACGUGGUGCAAAAUUUACCUCAAGGUGGUGAAUCAGCAAAUCGAGGGACUUAUUUUUUGGUGGGGCCAGCAGGGUAUCCCAUUACCUUAAUUUCCUCUCCAGUGUGCUGACUCCGAUCUCCAGAGUCAUGGUUGCUUCUUUCUUAGUCUGUUUAAUCGGUUAUUUCUUUCAAUAUGCACUCUCACAAUCAUAUACUUUUUCUGUUCUUGAUGGUGAUUUUUUGAUGGUACAAGGAAUGAAUGAAACAAUGUCUUCUCAUCAAGGAAAAGACUUGUGUUCUCCUUAUAGAACAUAAUUUAUUAUGUGAGGCAUUUGCCAUUACAACAUCUUGUCCAGGGCCAUGCUUGGCAUCGCCUCAUCCUGGUCUUCGGCGCUCCUACAGGAACUGAGCGCCAGUGUGGUCGAGCCAAGUACAACACCAACAAGCGACAACAGCGCACCACUCUAAUAUGAACCGAGAUGGAGUGGAAUGUUAAAUAUGUGCAUACCAUGUCUCGAUUGAGCAAUCUGUUUACUGAUGGCAAAGAUGUCUUAUGAAUACAAUUUUUUUGUUCAAUUGUUUUAGGAGAUUUUGACUCAAUUAUGUCUUCCUAUGGGUAAUAUAGUUAUGCUGAACCAUGGUGCCGUCAUACAAACAGUGUAGAUUUCAGAGCUAGCGUAUACUUCCUAGAUGUUGAAUAAUUGUUUGUAACUUGCUUAUAGACCUCAGUAGUUUAGUUGUUUGUAACUUUGCUCACAUACUUCAGUAGUUUGGUGUGAAAAAUGAAAGGGUAUCUAGAAAAGUAUUGGGUUAGUGCUACCGAUGACAUUUGAAAUAAGUAAAUAAACACACAAGGUUUGAAUUUUAUUUAUUUUUAGUUUUCCAGAUAAUGUGGUUCAUGCUGAUGUGAUCAGAGACAUUAUGAUUGAUGCUACAUCCUCUCUUUGUCCAUAGAUCUAGGUUUUUACACAUCGCUGGUACUUGUUAUAUUGUUUGGAUCUGACUGUUCUGCGUAAUCACCAAAAUUAACUGUGACCAGGAUCCAUGCGGGAAACAUGCAGUGUACAGAGAAAUCAGCGCUUUCACAGGCUGAUAGGAGAAAUUUUUGGGUGGGGCCUGCAUGUUUCUAGAGAAUUGUCGUGUCAUAGUGCUAACUAGGAAAAUGUUGAGGAGGUCCUGUUGCGUCCCAUGUUCAAUAUAAGGGGGUGUUAAAAGGGACUCGAAGCAUUUUCAUGUGUCGAUGGCACGAGAGAUCCUCCCGAUACUCUCCUCAAGGUUGACCCAACUAGAUCCUGAUGCGCCAGCGGCACGGGUGGUCAGGCCUGAGCAGCGAGCUCUUCUGCCCCCUCCUCAUUGGAUCGGCGGCCAGGGAGGCCAGAUCGUGUGGCACGAGAGAAGGCUCAUGUGUGAGGAAGGGGAGCAGCAACAUGCGUCGAUUGGGGAAGGGAGGAGCAACGGGUGCCACUGAAGGGAGGGGAGCAGCGGCAAGCGCGGAGGGAGGGGAGCACGGGAGCCCCAAGGGAGGCGGAGCAGCGGCAGGUGGCGUGGAGGUUGGAGAUCUUGGUGAGGACGGCGCGACGCGAGGUCAUGGUGGCAUGUGUCGGAGCAGUGGUAGGUGGCAUGUGCAGGUAAAUAGCAACAUCACUACCUCUUUUAUUAUGUGCAUAUUACAUUUUGAAUAUUUCAAGUAACCAGAUGGACGUGAACAUAUACACAUAAUCCACUUUCCAGUUGAAGCUUAUUUUCUUGCAUGAGUGGUGAAGAAAAUGAGUGACAAGGAUGAUGAGAAUAAAGGGAGUGCAAUGUGGUUAUUGAAGAAGGGCAAGGAAGAGGAAGACACAUGUUAGUCGGGUGAAGUCAGCAGCGAUCGCUAUCAGUGAUGUUAUUGGCCAAAUAGGUUGUCUAAACAUUUUGCUAGGUCUCCCUCAGGGAUGAUGGUGUAACCUUGUUUCAAGUAGAUAAACAGAAGUGGGCUAAAAGAGUGUCAUAUUACAACAGAUCAGUUGGUGUGAAACUAGAUGUUGGACUAAUACGUAAUGUAAUGGGCAUGAAUGCAUUCUUUUGA